UAGGGAAUAUUGGGCAAUGGGCGAAAGCCUGACCCAGCAACGCCGCAUGUGCGAUGAAGGCCUUCGGGUCGUAAAGCACUUUUCUGAGGGAUGAGCAAGGACAGUACCUCAGGAAUAAGUCUCGGCUAACUACGUGCCAGCAGCCGCGGUAAAACGUAGGAGACUAGCGUUAUCCGGAUUUACUGGGCGUAAAGCGUGUGCAGGCGGUUCGGCAAGUUGGAUGUGAAAUCUCCCGGCUCAACUGGGAGGGGUCGUUCAAUACUACCGAACUUGAGGGCAUCAGAGGAAGGUGGAAUUCCGGGUGUAGUGGUGAAAUGCGUAGAUAUCCGGAGGAACACCAGUGGCGAAGGCGGCCUUCUGGGAUGCUCCUGACGCUCAGACACGAAAGCUAGGGGAGCGAACGG
rnacentral:rRNA from 1 species